UACGGGGGGGGGAAGCGUUGUUCGGAAUUACUGGGCGUAAAGGGCUCGUAGGCGGCCAACUAAGUCGGACGUGAAAUCCCCCGGCUCAACUGGGGAGGGUCACGCGAUACUGAUCGACUCGAAGGCAGGAGAGGGUAGUGGAAUUCCCGGUGUAGUGGUGAAAUGCGUAGAUAUCGGGAGGAACACCAGUGGCGAAGGCGACUACCUGGCCUGUUCUUGACGCUGAGGCGCGAAAGCUAGGGGAGCAAACAGG
rnacentral:rRNA from 1 species